AUGUAGGGCAUUGUACCCAUGUAGGGUAUUGUACCCAUGUAGGGUAUUGUACCCGUGUGGAGCAUUGUACCCAUGUGGGGCAUUGUACCCAUGUAGGGUAUUGUACCCAUGUGGAGCAUUGUACCCAUAAGGGGUUAGGUCCGAAUCCCCUCAACAGGAUGUAACACGUUCUACUUCUUGUAGUCCUGCCAAGGUAUGGUGAGAUUUGUGAGACGUGUCUCGUACUUCUGCAAUUUGGUGAAGACAUCUCACAUGACAAUAGCACAAAUAACACAUAACCAUUUCCCAUCAAUGAGUGAAGCCUGUCAGCAAAGAAAGAAAUAUGUAAUUUAUGGUCUAUAAUCUGUUUAACUGAAAACUACUAUAUUGAAUUGAAAAUCGGUGUUAUUAAGAGAAUGGAUAUAUAUAUAAAUACAUACAAGGUAAAUGCCUGACUACAUCUGGAAGGGUUAAUACAGACAUACAAAUAUAUACACGGUAGGUACACAAAGACAGACUAGGUAAAUGCCUGACUACAUCUGGAAGGGUUAAUACAGACAUACAAAUAUAUACACAGUAGGUACACAAA